rnacentral:lncRNA from 1 species
CAAUGGCGGUGGGAGGUAUAGAGUUUUGGGGGAGUGCAUAAAAUCAACAUAUUAUCGAAGGUGCUUAGAUAUUGAUCCUGUAUUUCGAGGUAGUUCAAAAUCACCUCCCUUGGUCCGCCGGGUUUGACCUCAUAUUUCUGAGCUUGGUGGAGAAUAAUUCACGCGUAAAAUGCCGAAGAGAAAGUCCCCAGAGGGUCCUGAGGGAAAGGAGGCCCCCAAAGUCACAAAACAAGAGCCCACCAGAAGGUCACAGAGAUUGUCAUCGAGGCCUGCUCCAUCCAAGCCUGAGGCCAAACCCAAGAAGGCCAUCGUCAAGAAGGUCGCUGAUGAUAAGGGGGCCAAGGCAAAGAAAGGCGGUGCCAAGGGCAAGAAGGAGGAUGGACCCGCCCAGAACGGAGAGACUAAGACCAAUGAGGUAACUGAAGCAGCAGAGGAGGCGAACGAGGAGAAGGCGUAAAGACACAGGCGCAUCCACCGGGCUCGCCCCCUCUCUUGACACCAUGGCAGCAAAGCAUCUUUUUUUACUGACGAUUUUUGUACCAUGCUGACUUUUUUUUAGACUUGUGAUAGUAGAGAUGGACAACCAGCAGCCCCACCUCAUAUCCUCGCCUCUUUUUAUUUUUUUUUUUGCUCAGUUCUCCUCCAUUCUGUACGGCUAGACGGUUUGCCUCUUAGAGGCAGAAAGGCUUGAUGAAUUGUUGUUUUAUCAGACAGCUGCAGAUGUUCUUUGUUUUGCCUGAAGGGGGCCAUACAAGUGACUGUUAUGAUCUUUAAAACCAGCUCUUCCUUUGUUUGUAGUUAUUCUUCUCUUAAAAUCUUAUCAUCAUUAUUGGUUCUCAGCCUGUAAUGAGGAGAUGCUCUAGUUUCCCGUCCCCCUGAUGGUGAAGGUAAGGAUAGGUGCAGAGCUACAAGAAACCAGUUCCACAGUCGCCAUGGGGAACAUCUGCAGCUCUUUAAAAAAAAACGUGUAGUUUGUAGAAUCACCACCACUGUGUCCCACAUAGCUCUUUUUGUAUGUGUGUGUGCUGGAGUGGAUGUUUGUGGGUCUCUGUGUUUGACUUUGUUCACUUUGUUUCCCAACCCCUCCACCCCUCCUGAACGCCUUGUCCUGCAGCAGAGUGACAUAGCAAUAAUGAGUGGUGCUUCUGUUCUAGACGGCUCUAUUGGCUUUGGAC